rnacentral:lncRNA from 1 species
AAAAAACCACGGGACCGAUCACACGAAACAAUCUACUAUGAAAAAAUUGAGUACAAAGUGAUUUACCAAAUACACGACCCAACUUUACCGAAUCCUCGUCGUAGAUCGUCUUUGCCGGUCCUCAAUCAAUCGAACUCCUUCAAUCGAUCACGCCGCAACUCCUCGCAGCAACAACAUCUCGAAUCCACGAGCGUCCACCGAAUCCUCAGCCUCACGGGAAGCCCUCGCGCAAACACUCCAUCUAGAGCUCGUAGAACGAAUAAUUGAUGCUGUUUGAAUUUCUUAGAAAAACCGUAAGAUAUGAUGAGAAUCCAUUCAAUCUAUCAUCAACUCGAUUUUCAAUGAAACAUUGG